rnacentral:tRNA from 1 species
GCUUUUAAAGGAAAACAGUUUAUCCG